UUUAUGGAGAGUUUGAUUCUAGCUCAGAACGAACGCUGGCGGCGUGGAUAAGACAUGCAAGUCGAACGGAGUUGAACCUGCAGCAAUGCGGAUUCGAUUCAGUGGCGUACGGGUGCGUAACACGUGAGUGAUCUACCGGUAAGUGGGGGAUAGCCCGCCGAAAGGCGAAUUAAUACCGCAUGUGGCUAAGGGGAUGUUUCUUCUCCUAUAGCUAAAGCCAUUUUGGCGCUUUCCGAUGAGCUCGCGGCCUAUCAGCUUGUUGGUGGAGGUAAUGGCCCACCAAGGCGAUGACGGGUAGCUGGUCUGAGAGGACGAUCAGCCACACUGGAACUGAGACACGGUCCAGACACCUACGGGUGGCAGCAGUCGAGAAUUUUUCACAAUGGGGGGAACCCUGAUGAAGCAACGCCGCGUGGAGGAUGAAGGGCUUCGCGCUCGUAAACUCCUGUCAAGCGGGAACAAGAAAGUGAUAGUACCGCUAGAGGAAGAGACGGCUAACUCUGUGCCAGCAGCCGCGGUAAUACAGAGGUCUCGAGCGUUGUUCGGAUUUAUUGGGCGUAAAGGGUGCGUAGGCGGUGUGGCAAGUCAAGUGUGAAAUCUCGGAGCUCAACUCUGAAACUGCACUUGUUACUGCCGUGCUAGAGGGUUGUAGAGGAGAUCGGAAUUCACGGUGUAGCAGUGAAAUGCGUAGAUAUCGUGAGGAAGACCAGUUGCGAAAGCGGGUCUCUGGGCAAUUCCUGACGCUGAGGCACGAAGGCUAGGGGAGCAAACGGGAUUAGAUACCCCGGUAGUCCUAGCAGUAAACGGUGCACGUUUGGUAUGGGCAGAUUCGACCCUGUCCGUGCCGGAGCUAACGCGUUAAACGUGCCGCCUGAGAAGUACGGCCGCAAGGCUAAAACUCAAAGAAAUUGACGGGGGCCCGCACAAGCGGUGGAGUAUGUGGCUUAAUUCGAUGCAACGCGAAGAACCUUACCUGGCCUUGACAUGUAGCGUGACAGCUGAUGAAAGUCAGUGACGGUCCGAGAGGAUGCUGGGGCUACACAGGUGCUGCAUGGCUGUCGUCAGCUCGUGUCGUGAGAUGUUGGGUUAAGUCCCGCAACGAGCGCAACCCCUAUGAGCUGUUACUAUCCUAACAAGGUGUACUCUGCUCAGACUGCCCUGCGAAACGGGGAGGAAGGUGGGGAUGACGUCAAGUCAGCAUGGCCCUUACGGCCAGGGCUGCACACGUACUACAAUGCGCACUACAGAACGAUCCGAAAUCGUGAGAUGGAGGAAAUCCCUAAAGGUGCGCCCAGUUCGGAUUGUAGGCUGCAACUCGCCUACAUGAAGCCGGAAUCGCUAGUAAUGGCGUAUCAGCUACGGCGCCGUGAAUACGUUCCCGGGCCUUGUACACACCGCCCGUCACAUCAUGGAAGUCGUUUGUACCCGAAGUGUAUGAGCUAACCCGUAAGGGAGGUAGUACCCUAAGGUAUGGACGGUAACUAGGAUGAAGUCGUAACAAGGUAGCCGUAGGGGAACCUGCGGCUGGAUCACCUCCUUU
rfam:Candidatus Xiphinematobacter sp. Idaho Grape, complete genome.